rnacentral:ncRNA from 1 species
CGGUUCCGGGUUCGCGCCCGGUGAAAAGGGAACGCGGUGCAAUUCCGCGGCUGCCCCCGCAACUGUCAGCGGAGAGCGAGGCCGGAGAAUGCCACUGUCCGCCGAAUUCGCGGAUGGGAAGGCCCGGCCAAGCCUUGACCCGCAAGCCAGGAGACCUGCCCAGGC